UACGUAGGGCGCAAGCGUUAUCCGGAAUUAUUGGGCGUAAAGAGCUCGUAGGCGGUUUGUCGCGUCUGCCGUGAAAGUCCGGGGCUCAACUCCGGAUCUGCGGUGGGUACGGGCAGACUAGAGUGAUGUAGGGGAGACUGGAAUUCCUGGUGUAGCGGUGAAAUGCGCAGAUAUCAGGAGGAACACCCGUGGCGAAGGCGGCUCUCUGGGACGGUACUGACACUGAGACGCGAAAGCGUGGGGAGCGAACAGG
rnacentral:rRNA from 1 species